GACGAACUGUCCAAACGUUGUUCGGAAUCACUGGCUUAAAGGGCGCGAUAGGCGGUCGGCCAAGUCAGGGGUGAAAUCCUGCAGCUUCAACUGUAGAAGUGCCUUUGAUACUGGUCGUCUCGAGGGAGGUAGGGGUGUGUGGGAACUCACAGUGGAGCGGUGAAAUGCGUUGAUAUUGUGAGGAACGCCGGAGGCGAAAGCGACGCGACUGGACCUCUUCUAACGCUGAGGCGCGAAAGCCAGGGGAGCAAACGGG
rnacentral:rRNA from 1 species